rnacentral:rRNA from 1 species
UGGGGAAUUUUGGACAAUGGGCGAAAGCCUGAUCCAGCAAUGCCGCGUGUGUGAAGAAGGCCUUCGGGUUGUAAAGCACUUUUGUCCGGAAAGAAAUCCUCUGGGUUAAUACCUCGGGGGGAUGACGGUACCGGAAGAAUAAGCACCGGCUAACUACGUGCCAGCAGCCGCGGUAAUACGUAGGGUGCAAGCGUUAAUCGGAAUUACUGGGCGUAAAGCGUGCGCAGGCGGUUUUGUAAGACGGAUGUGAAAUCCCCGGGCUUAACCUGGGAACUGCAUUCGUGACUGCAAGGCUAGAGUAUGGCAGAGGGGGGUAGAAUUCCACGUGUAGCAGUGAAAUGCGUAGAGAUGUGGAGGAAUACCGAUGGCGAAGGCAGCCCCCUGGGCCAAUACUGACGCUCAUGCACGAAAGCGUGGGGAGCAAACAGGAUUAGAUACCCUGGUAGUCCACGCCCUAAACGAUGUCAACUAGUUGUUGGGGAUUCAUUUCCUUAGUAACGUAGCUAACGCGUGAAGUUGACCGCCUGGGGAGUACGGUCGCAAGAUUAAAACUUAAAGGAAUUGACGGGGUCAUAGCUGUUUCC